rnacentral:rRNA from 1 species
AUGGUUGGCUGGUGGUGCAUGCCUCCCCUCUACAUACUACUCGGGCUUCUCCUCUUGCACACUGCUCCUUGGUGCUCCUCUGCAGCUGCCACUGAAGACACUCUCACGGCAGGCCAAGCGCUCGGCGUUGGUGACAAGCUCGUCUCAAGAAACGGCAAGUUCGCCCUUGGCUUCUUCCAGCCAGCAGCAAGCAGCAUCAGUAAGUCGUCCCGCAAUGCCACCUCCCCCAGCUCCAGCUGGUACCUUGGCAUAUGGUUCAAUAAGAUCCCCGUUUUCACUACCGUGUGGGUUGCUAAUAGAGAGGAGCCCAUCACCCACCCCAAUCUCAACCUGACACAGCUCAAGAUCUCAAGCGAUGACAAUCUUGUCAUCAUAAACCAUGCCGCCAAAACUGAAUCCAUUGUUUGGUCCACUCACAUUGUCAAUAGGAAAACUAGUAGCAUAAACACCACCGCCUCUAUAGCCGUUGUUCUCUUGAACAGUGGUAACCUUGCCCUACUCGCAAAUAGCCAAGACAUGUUGUGGCAGAGCUUUGACUACCCAACAGAUGUUGCGCUUCCUGGUGCCAAGUUAGGCCGGAACAAGGUCCCCGGUUUCAUUCGUCAGUACAUAUCAAAGAAAAGCCUCAUUGAUCUGGGUCUAGGGUCAUACAGCAUUGAACUAGACAGCACCGGGAUCGUCCUCAAGCAUCGCAACCCCUCGGUAGUGUACUGGCAUUGGGCAUCCUCCAGAACAUCAUCGUUGAAUCUUGUGCAAUUAAUCAAGACCACGUUAGAUUUGGAUCCCCGGACAAAAGGUUUGAUUAACCCAGCAUAUGUUGACAACGACCAAGAGGAGUACUACAUGUACACUUCGCCGGAUGAAUCAUCGUCUUCUGUGUUUGUCUCACUAGACAUCUCUGGUCAGAUAAAGGUGAAUGUUUGGUCACAAGCCAGCCAGUCUUGGCAAAGCAUAUAUUCCGAGCCUGCCGAUCCCUGCACUCCGCCUGCUACUUGCGGACCUUUCACGGUCUGCAACGGCAUUGCACAUCCAUCAUGUGACUGUAUGGAGAGCUUCUCCCAGAAGUCACCGCAGGAUUUGGAGUUUGAGGAUCGAACAGGAGGAUGCAUCAGAAACACACCGUUACAUUGCAGCACUAGUGGUAACAACAAAAACAUGACAAAUUCAACAGACAUAUUCCACCCCAUUGCUCAAGUUGCACUGCCCUACAACCCGCAAAUUGUAGAUGUUGCUACUAAAAGUAAAUGUGAAGAAGCAUGUCUUGGUUCCUGCUCCUGCACUGCCUAUUCCUAUAGCAAUAGCAGAUGCUCUGUCUGGCAUGGGGAAUUGUUUAGUGUAAAUCUUAAUGAUGGCAUUGAUAAUAAUUCUGAAGAUGUUCUUUAUCUUCGCCUUGCUGCCAAAGAUUUGCUACCAGGUUCCAGAAAAAACGAAAGAAAACCAAAGGCAGGAGUUGUUACCAUUGUAAGUAUUAUUGGUUUUGGGUUAAUAAUGGUCAUGCUGUUGUUACUGAUUUGGAGGUACAAAUUCAAGUGGUGUGGUUUGCCUAUAUACGACAAUCCAGGUAGUGCUGGUGGAAUCAUAGCCUUCAGAUACACUCACUUGGUUCGUGCUACUAAAAGCUUCUCAGAAAAGCUUGGAGGAGGUGGUUUUGGUUCUGUAUACAAGGGGGUGUUAAGUGACUCAAUGACUACUAUAGCAGUGAAAAGGCUCGAUGGUGCCCGUCAAGGAGAGAAGCAAUUCAGGGCCGAGGUGAGCUCAAUUGGACUGAUCCAACACAUAAACCUAGUCAAAUUGAUUGGUUUCUGCUGCGAAGGUGAUCACAGAUUACUUGUGUAUGAACACAUGUUAAAUGGGUCUCUUGAUAGUCAUCUAUUUAAGAAGAGCAAUGCAAAUGUUGUUGUCCUGAAUUGGAACAUCAGAUGUCAGAUAUCCCUAGGAGUUGCUAGAGGAUUGUGCUACUUGCAUCAGGGUUGUCGUGAGUGCAUCAUACACUGCGAUAUUAAGCCAGAGAACAUACUUCUGGAUGCAUCAUUUGUUCCUAAAGUUGCAGACUUUGGGUUGGCAGCGUUUGUGGGAAGGGAUUUCAGCCGAAUUCUGACUUCAUUCAGAGGAACUGUGGGUUAUCUUGCCCCAGAGUGGCUUACUGGAGUGGCGAUCACACCGAAAGUCGAUGUUUACGGAUUCGGCAUGGUGCUAUUGGAAAUCAUAUCAGGAAGGAGGAAUUCCUCACCUGAAACAUCGUACAACACCAGCAGCAGCAACAGUAACCAGAAUAUUGAAUACUUCCCUGUGCAAGCCAUAAGCAAGCUUCACAGUGGAGAUUUGAAGAGUUUGGUGGAUCCACGGUUACAUGGUGACUUCAACUUGGAAGAGGCUGAAAGGAUUUGCAAAGUUGCAUGUUGGUGCAUCCAAGAUAAUGAGUUGGAUCGGCCGACCAUGGGUGAAGUAGUCCGGGUUCUCGAGGGUCUACAGGAGAUUGAUGUGCCCCCAAUGCCAAGACUGCUUGCAGCUAUAACGGAAUAA